ensembl:lncRNA
GUGACCAAAUGUCCUCCUCCUUUUCCCCCAGGGGCCGUACAGAGAGGCUUUCAGGAAUCGUGCCAUGUUCAAGGCAGUGCUGAAGAAGAGCAGAGAUGGAGGCAAAGGGAGCAAGAAGGAUUCAGGUGGAGGCCGGGGGCAGCGGAGUUUUACGGCGGGAUACGGCUCCUUUUAUCCCCGCCUCCGUCUCCCAGUUGGACCCCAUCCAUCAAGCUGAAGCUGCUCUGUCUCCCCCUUUUCUCUCGCGCCAGGACAAUAAAAUCUGGCCGCUCUUCUGUUGUUGAGGGCUCCGAAGACCGACGAGAGGUCACGGAGAUACAACAGUUACUUUGCCAAACUGUUGGUCCUUUUUUAUGGGACACAUCUUUACUGCAUAUCUGUUUAGCUUCAGGCGCCCAGAGUUCAAACCAGAUGUGUCAUUUCUUGCGACAUUGUGGGCAAAUUACCUCCAAUCAUAGCACGUAAUAAGAAUAGAAUUUGUUAUAUUAUAUAUGUUCCUUAAAACAUUUUGAUUAGGAUUCAAAUGAGCUUUAUAAGUUAUUUAAUUCCAUAUGCACACUAAUGGUUGGUCAUUUUUAUUAGUUUAUUAGAUAAAAUGUGGGCCAUGUGUUUACUUGUCUGUUGUCCAGGAGGAGGAGGAUUUGUUGGUGGAUUCACAUCCUCGCUGGGAUCUGAAAUGAGAUUUGUAACCGAGAAGCCCUGAUGGGGAAGUGCCGUGUAAAUCAAAAUAGACCCACUGCAGUGUAGCUGAUGGUCUCUGAGACAAGACCGUACCAUAUUGGACAUAAAAUAUUCACUGCUCCUCCUGCAAGGUUUGAUUUCAUUUUUAUCCCGGAGGGUUUUUGGAAAGAAUGUUGUUUUGGUAAAUGUCUGCCGCGUUGGAGUUCUUUGCUCUUGUUUAUUAUACACGGCUUUAUGUUUUUGCCAUUUUAAAAUUUUAAUAUGGGCAUGGAUCUGUUUACCUUGCUUGAUACCUGUGUGUGUGUGUGUGUGUGUGUGUGUGUGUGUGUAUAAAACAUUUUCUAGUUCAUCUUUUAGCAGACUAAUGACAAUGGGAUUCGUUAGUCAACAACACGGAUACUUCCAUUUCCUUCCUUCAGAAAAACCAAAAGUACAAAGUACAAAAGCAGAAUAUAAUAUAAAUCUGUGGGAGGAAAGUCCUUGGUGAUGGUAUGAAUGCAAGAAAGCUCGCCAUAUGCUGCUCAUGACAUGGCGGCAAUGCACUGGUGGCAACUUUAAAGCAGUCAAGGAAACUUGGCCCCUAAGAUACCGCUCCACUCAUUAGCUCCCCUUUGGGAUCUCCCCAUUGCCAAGACCACUAAACACACAGUUUGCUAAUUUAGUCCUCUCCAUCAUGUGCUCCUCCUAGAUUCUUUCCCUUCCUCCUCCUCCUCCUCGCUUGCCUCCUCUGGACUCAGUGUGGAGUGAACGUGCUGCCACAUUCUUCCCCGGAUGGAAGUGAGAUGUUUUUUUUUAGAGCGGUUACAUUGUAAAUAAGUCUCACGGCGGUUAAUAGCUUUGGGACCUGGAGGCACGAGAAGAUGAUUAUAUUGUAGAGAACCAAAUAACAGUUUAAUUGGUGUUGGUGUCUUUGAUGAUACAGGCCCCCUCCGAUUUGACUGCGCAUUUCACCUGUGACUUCCCAUUAAUUCACAGCGGUGUGUCUUUUCUAAGUUGGUAGAAUUGUUUGAGGACAGUGAACUGUCACGGGGCGAGUUUGUAAUUCAUUUCCUCCUUAUGGCAAAUAUUCUUUAACAAAAGUGGCACAGCUGUAAAAUAACAUGAGUAAGUCACAUGUCAUCAAUUGGUUCUUCUUUUCAGCUGACGUUACAAAACUCAACGGGAGGGAAACUGCAUGGGCAAAAUUGGAUUAGUUGGCAUCAAGUUUUGACUCUUUUUUUUUUUUUUCUUCUUCUUUUUUGUUUAAAGUGAAGCUAAACUUAAAGCUAUGCCAAAUCCUCUUGGUGGACUUGAAACACUUCAGAAAAAGCCUGCACUUUCCACCGAGAUUAAAUUCUCUUCCACACGAUCAGCUCUCUUUGUUUUUAUUUAUUUCUUUGAAGCACACAGAGGCCUCAUUGUCUUGAAUAAAGUAUACUUCCACUUACCGUUAAUUCAACCUGGGCGUAUUUCCAGUCCGUGUCUGUUCAUGUGACUCACAGAUACUGCAUCUUCGACUCUGCUUUAAUUGCUGUGUGUAUCUGUGUGUGUGUGUGUGUGUGUGUGUGUGUAUAUGUGUGUGUGGUAAAGCCUCUGAACGCCCCCCAAUUUGACAUUACCACCUGAUGAGCUCGCUCGCUUUGGGGCAGCUGCCACACCGUUGUCUGUCUCUCUGGGUGACGCGGUGUCAAUAAGCGCGCUCCCUGAGGCUGAUAACCGCUUCAGCUGUUUAUUACUCCAGUCCCCAUCACUCACUCACUCACUCACAGACAAUGACACACACAGGCGGCCACCAGUUGACGGGGUUUGUCUUAGUUUGUUUUGCAGCACAGAGACAGGAGCCACUCACUGCACCUGUCUGGAGUUCCCAGCCGCGCGUCUACGCCACAACAAGCGACGGCAGAUUUGUUUUUCAUUUAGAAGCUGACUGACUGUAAGAAGACUUUGCUGAAACGCUGUGGUGGUGGUGGUGACUGGUGCGUGCAGCUUCUGUCACUUUCUUUGGUGUUUUCACAGGAAACAGUGACCGGUCGCCACGGGUCAGACAACAGCAAAUUGGUUACAGUACAAACUUUGAGGGAAUUCACUCUGUUUCUUAAAAUGUGAAGCACCACAAUGAUCGCGCUAUUAUGAUGCAUUUACUUCAGGGGGUUAUAGCCCUGCUAUAAAUACUUCCUUUGUAAAGCUUAAAAUACCUAGUUUGUAACGACCCUGCCAGUGUUGAUCUAUCCAGUGAUAUUUUUGAAGCGGUUGUAUGAUUUUGUGCUAUUGUCUAUACAGAUUUCGGUCACUGCCUCGCUGUAGUGAUACAGUUAAAUAUUGCAGCUGACAUCUACCAAGAUUCCUUUCCUGUUUUCUAUAUUCUCUCUUUCAACUGCCCUCGGGGGUUUCACAUGUGGAAUUUCUACUGUUAUGGGAAACAUCCCUCAAUAAACAAAGACCACAGGUGGUCGGGCCGUUAUUUAUCCAAACAAAAGAGCUUUUUAUGGACAAUAGUAUUUCAAAACAAAAGCAAUUCUUCAUAUUGGUUACUGGGCAAAUAAUAAAAAUUGUAAUCAAAUUAAUUUUUACAGAAAAACUGCAACUUUCGACAGUUAAAACAGCAAAACGCUGGUGUUGCUGAGUAUUAAACUAGCAUUUUUUCAUUGAUCAGAUAUGAUGAAACUUUUUGAAACACACUUUUGCUUUUCCUUUUGGUUUCUGUAACGCGGGCCGACCACUUUUCCAGACACUUCUGAAGCCGACGCAAGUACUACUAAUUUGACUUUAGUUUAGUGCUCCAACAUCACGGAUGGAAAGCUAAACUGGAUGCAGAAUCACAGUGGACUCUCUCACUGGCAUUAACAUGGUGGCCAACCAUCCCCUCAGACAUUAACACACACACACCAUUACACACCACUGCUUCUCGGGUCUCGUCUCUGGUUCUUCUCCGUGAACAGCUGGGUGGCAGAAUCCUCUCUAGCCAUAUCUACCGCAGCCAUUUUAAGACACGCUCCCUCCUCUUCCUGUGGCUAUUAAGGGAGCUUAAAGGAAAAACUCCCUCGCUCUGCUCCUCUCCAAAUGGGUGGAAAUGUUUAAUUCACAUCUAGGAAAACUCUUGGGGAAGCCAUGGUGUUGUCUGGAUGAAACUGUAAGGCAACAACAGUAAAAGGAAGCAUUUGAUCAGCAGGAAGUGCUGAUGUAUCUAACAAUCUGUACAGGGAGCAACGAGAAAGUAGUAACUUAAACAAGGAAAACUCUUAUUUUCUUAAAUCUGAUGUCACAAAAUUAAAAGCUGCGAGUGCCCAAGACCGACAGCGACAAGGUGCACACAGGAUGUCUGGACCACAGAUUACACAGAGUAUGUGACCUGUGCAGGAAGUCAAGUCAGGAACUCCACGUCAUGCCACACGCGGAGACGCACACACACACGCACGCGCGGAUAGAGAGCGACAGAGACGGCCAGAGAGGCAUGCAACCUCAAGAUGCAUUAUUAACAUCCUUUGAUUAACCAUAAUCACUAGUGCGCAGACCAGAACCACUGACUCCUUUUUAUCAUCAGCUUGUCGUUUUCCUUUUGGAAAGCACCAAGUACUAAACAGCACUCUUGAAGCUCGGGUUUGGCUUUCUUUAAAGACUUGAGCUUUUCAUUUUAACUAUUUUGCGACAAAUGGAUCUUCAAAUCACUAAAAGAAAACUUAAUGUUAUAUCUAGGUUACUAUUCUCAAACCGUCUUGUAAUUUCAAAUAUAAGAAAUCUGGGCUAACACAUGUGAAAUGGCAUUUUCGCCUAUAUUUGCUGUUUUUAUGUCUAGAUUUUCAUGCCCAGACAGUUGGUAGGAUUUAAGAUGGCAGAGAAAAGAAUGCACCUGAUCUACAAAGGAGCCCAUUGAGUGGGUAUCAAAGCGCCGUGCAGCCAGCAGGCAACGAUUAGCAGGGCGUAGCUUAAAACCACAUC